UGGGGUGGGGGAGGGAGGGCAGGUUGUUCAUAGAUUGUCCUGUUUUAGGAAUAACAGUGCUUGCAACUAUCUAAGGCUACAGUUUAUCUGCACCCACAGCCUGACCCAGCCCGCAGCUGGUGCAGGAAGGCAGCCCCCGCCCCCGGCCGGACCCCUCCUCCCCGAGGGGCAUAUCCCUUUCCCGAGGUGGAUGUGUCAAUUUUUGCCACAGGGGCUGCGCAACCGGGCGGCCCACGGCGGGCAGGAGAUGGCGGCAGCCCCCUGGGCCCGCAGCAGCCGCUCUGCCCCUCCGCGGAGUCGGGACCAGGAGCGGCGGGCGGAGACGGGGCGCGCUGAGACGCUGGUGCAGCCCGGCUUGGUGGGAAGAAACGGUAGUUCGUCAUCUUACUCCCUGCUUGAUACUGUCUUAGACCCUUUCAACAGGGUCUGAAGUCUGAACCACACCAUUCAAGUGCAGAAUAUACAUUCCAAGACCGAAGUGCAAAACAGUUUUUCAAAUGGCUUGUGAAUAGAAAGUAUGGGGUGCAGCUCAGGUUAUCCCACUGUGAUGUGAUCCAGUCCUUCGAGGAAAUCAUCGAAGUUGAAGGUAGUGCUGCAAAAUGGAGCAUGGCAUAGCAUCAGGUAUUAAAGAGACUGAGGCAAACUAACCCUUCUCAAUGUAGAAUGAAACAUUUAGAGACUGUCAUCACUGUCAUGAGCCCACCAGAACAUGUUAUGGCUUUAAGAAAUCAGUUUCUUAAUGAGUAUCUAAGCAAAUGUAUUAAAGAUCAAAUUUUUACUGUGAGGGCAAAAAUGUUUGCACAUAUUUUAUAUACACUUAUAAUAUAUUUGUAUUUCCUGGGGGAGGUGAUAGUACCUUUUCCAUUUGAUGCCCUAGCAGUAUAUGCAAGUUCCAGUGCUGGAGAAGUGCCUUCUCAAGUCAUUGGGAUGAGAAGAUCACAAUGAGGCAUAGCGUGCUGAUACAGUGACUGCUAUGAAACUAUUCAAACCUUUCAGCUCCUCUUCCAGUGAAGAUGAUUCACUUCUGUGAUUUUACCAGGACUGUCACUAGUUCACCCAAGGGUUGAAUUGCUUUUCUGUUACAUUAGGUCCAGCUGUGCUGUCAAUUUGUUGCCUUAAGCUUCAGCCAAGGGUCCUGAUGUCCUAAUUGUUGCCAUUGUAGAAAUCCUGGGCUUUUGGCUGGGACGGACAUCCUUUGUGAGAAAACUGGGAGGAAGGAGAGAGGAUGGUUUUCCCCAAAGCCCUCUCCUCAUAGGCACUAUAGCCAUGGGCCAAUCUAAAGUGGGAGCCAUGGACUCAGUCCCUGCUGCAGAUCCCAAAAGUUGUUCACAUGCAUUGAAACAGUUCAAUCAACUGGCUGUUAAUAACAAUUAAAAAACAGCCUUGAGUCCUUGGUAAGUCCUUUAGAUUUCAACAUUUGUAGGGAUCCAGAAUAUUUAGACACAAAUUUCUCACUGACCAUAAACUCUGCAUAUAAAUCCUGGACUUAAAUCUCCUUGAGCUGGAGAUGUGAGAUAUCAGGCUUAAUCUCCCCGAGCCUUCACUGAACCAUAAAUAUGCUGACUACCAUAGCACACGGGAGCAUCACAGAAGAAUUGACUACAAAUUUGCUAAUACUUUUAAAGAGAGAUAAAGAGGUAACAAAUGUGCUAAUGAUUAUCAUUACUGUUUACCACCAUGACACUCACUGGCUGGGAAGGCAGGAAAUAAUGUUCAGAAUAUCUGAGGAAUAUUGCCUUGUUUGAAAAUAUCUCUGCUACUAAUGUGAUGACUGUCUAUGGAGUUGUGGUUGCUGGGAAUUCACACACUGAUUUCAUGGAGAGAUAAAAGAGUGGAGUUUAUAUGGAAUAAACCCCUUUUGAAUAAAACAAUCUGCAUAAAUGCUUUAAGAAAGCCUAUAAUUAUGAUAAAAAUGUUGCUCAAAGUUAAAAUUAUGAAGCAAUCAAAAUUUAUAAACAGUCUCUCAUCGACUUUUAAUCAUACUUUCUCAUAUACAAACUGUAGAAAACAUAUAGUAGCAAUAUAUAACAAUAUGCAUUUUAUUUUUGGUAAUUUAGGGUGCUAUGUCAUGCUCUUUAAUCAGACAAAGCUUGGCUUGUCAAGAUCUGCCGUAUUAUCCUUAAAUGUCAAAAAACACAUUUAGGCCUCCAAGUUAUAUAUACACUUAGCUGAGGUUUUAUCCUGCUGGCAGCUAAACACCUCUGGAGAGGUGGUGUGCCCUCUCUGGGCUAGAUCCGAAGCUUUCUUCUGUCAUAUUCCCACCAAGAACCUCUGGCUAGGGCCUCUACUCUGACUGCCUGCUCUGAAGGUGCUCACUCAGUCUAACACAGGAUCCUACUCACACCUCCCCUGAAAUUCUCUUGUAGACAUUGCUCUUCAUUUGUGAUUCACUAAGGAGAAUGCUUAAAUUAUAUGCAUCAUGUAGAACUUGGAUGGCAAGAGAUAUUCAAAACAAGGAAUAUUUGUAAUGGGAACCUUGCCAACUUGAAUGGUAGCCUACCAUGUCUAUAAGCUCCAUUGUUUCCUUUGAGCUGAACUAGCUGAACACAUUCAGGAUGCAUCCUGAUAGUAACAUGCCUCUCUUGGCAAGUAGUAAAAUUCACUGGUACUGUGUCCUUAAAAAUGUUAUCACAGACAGGUCAAAUUAAUGAAGUAUUUGCUUCAAACAAUACAUAUUUUUUUAAUGCAGUAUUACUAGAUUCUUUUCUGGAACAGAAUAGCAUGCAGAGUAUUCCAUCUGAACUCCUUAUGAAAAUGAGAUCUUCUAUUGAACUGACUGGCACAGCUCUUAUAGAUAGAUUGAAGGAUGGAGAAGCACCAUGCAUGCAGCUUGACGUACAUUCUCAGAUAGCAUUUGACUAUCAAGCAGUGGCAUUCUUGGAUGUGCUUGUUAUGCUCCUGCCCAUGCCCCAAAUCCAAGCAUGGUGCAACUUCCCUUUUCAGCCAAAAAAAGAGGACCAUUCUAAUUUUAGGCCUUUGUGGUUUUGUGAGAGAAAGGCGGAUUUUAUUUUUUCUUCUUUUUACAGCCCAGUUUUCUGACUCUUAGCCCUAUAAGGGGUUUGCCUGCUGAAGGAUGGGUAGAAGUUAUUUUCUGUGAUUAAUACAACACUUCACUUAAAAGACUUCUUUGCUAUGAAAUCUCUAUAUUUAGCAGUCUAUAAUCAUUAAAUGUAAACAUCAAGCUUCGCUUUGUGUCUGUAUGUGGCCUAAAAAUGUGGUUCUGUUUCUGACUGAGAGAGAUGAAUGUCAUGAGUGCUCUGUGUAGGAUGGAGAACACAAAUACCACAACAAAACCUAAACAAACCUAAAGCAUGAAACAAAACAUUUUGUACACGUACAUUAAAAUUAUAUUGAAAAUUGGGAGCACGAACUACCAAACUAGGCUUCUUUCUGUUUUACAAACUGCAAUGUCUGUUAAAAAAAAUUUAAAGCAUAAUUGCAAAUUGAAAUUUCCUCCCUAUUCUUACUUCGACAUUUGUGUUUUUCUCUUAACAUCUCCCACAUGUAAAUGCAGCAGCUUCCUAACCCUCUUGUUAUGUAUCACAUUCAAAUGUAACAGUUUAGCAAAUUCUCCAAUUGUGUUGGUGUUCCCUUUCAGACAUGGAAAGCAAUUUGAUGUGUCCUUUUAAUGAGCCAUUUUCAUGCAAGGAGGAAAACAGUGGUUGGGGAAGUUACUAAAGCUUUCUGCUCAUUGAUUUUAA